AAACCUAUUUUUCUUUCUUUCGCUUAUUAAACAAAACUCUAGCCGUCACACACUCCAAACCCUUAUGAGAUAUCGCUUUCAUCUUUCCAUUCAAUCGUAUCAAUCCGUUUAAAUCUGAGUUUGUUUCGACGAUUCAUCAUUAUUCUUCGAUCUCUUUAAUCCUAACGCUUCGGAAUCGAAAUUGACUCGUCGACUGGUCGUACUUCAGAGGCGAACCAGAGUUAGAUUGCUUGCCAGAUUUCACGUGGAAUAGCAAGCGCUGAGUUUAUAUCUCUAUUUACCUCUUUAUUAAGAAAAUGUUAUAUUUUGUAUAUAUAUGUAUAAACAGCUUUCGAACUGUUUUUCGGCAUUGUGGAUUUGAUUUGGAACGUGCUACUCGAUGGGCAUCAUCGGGACUGCGUGCGCACCGGUAAUGAUUAUUAUGGUAUUGAGGUAGGUUUGAGAUGCGUCUCACCUUAGUGAGGGCACCGGUGGAAGAUACGUCUCCUGUGCUCACUAUUUAUAAAGUGAUAGUCGGGGAUCGGUUAUUGAGAUACGUCUCACCGACACGACAAUGGAUUUAGAAUUGUGGUUUAGGGUUUCAUUGAUAAUCCAUAAUGAACAAAUGUUUUAUUAAA